rnacentral:snRNA from 1 species
AAAAAUAUGGAAUGCUUCACAAAUUUGCAUGUCAUCCUUGCGCAGGGGCAUGCUAAUCUUCUCUGUAUCGUUCUAAUUUUAGUAUAUGUGCUGCUGAAGCAAGCAC